ACGACGUCAAAUCAUCAUGCCCUUUAUGUCCCUGGGCUACACACGUACUACAAUGGCCGUUACAACGGGAAGCGAAGGAGCAAUCCGGAGCAAAUCCCUUAAAGGCGGUCCCAAGUUCAGAUUGUGGGCUGAAACUCGCCCACAUGAAGCGGAAUUGCUAGUAAUUGCAGAUCAGCAUGCUGCAGUGAAUACGUUCCCGGGCCUU
rnacentral:rRNA from 1 species